UUUUUCUCCGUGGGCAGUUGACUUUGAAGUGGCUCUUGGGACUGUUAUCUCCAGAUUGGUUAUCUUCAGUUGGAAUCCACCAGGAAGUAGAUGAUACACUUCUUUCAAUUCAUUACAAGUUGAGGUGUGGCUUAAACUACCUUUCAGUGGAAUAAAUACUGUGACCUCUCAGUUCUGGAUUGUGUUCCGUUGGAGCCCAUCAAUUAUGACCCUACAUCUUCAACAACAACAACCAAAAAAAAGCUUCAACACGAAUAUUAUGAGGUGACAAGCGCCACGGUGCCCUCGAGGAAGUUCUUCGUGGGGAGGGGAGCAUGUGGAGGGGGACAGGAAGAUGUAUGGGUGGAAGAAGAACCUGGAGGAACUCAUCACCACUCCGAACACGACCAUGGUGCUGGCUGACAUGACAUCGAAGUGAUUUGUGCACCCCCCCCCCCCCCCAACUGCCUAAUCGACUUUGUCCGACAGAAGCUAGAUCCCAAGAUUGCUGUGGCUGUGCAGAACUGCUACAAAGUGCCUAACGCAGCCUUUA
rnacentral:lncRNA from 1 species